UUGAACGCUGGCGGUAUGCUUAACACAUGCAAGUCGAACGGCAGCACGAACUAGCUUGCUAGUUGGGUGGCGAGUGGCGAACGGGUGAGGAAUACAUAGGAAUCUGCCUUUAGGUGGGGGAUAGCUAGGGGAAACUCUGGGUAAUACCGCAUGAUCUCGCAAGAGCAAAGGGGCGCAAGUCUCGCCUUUAGAGGAGCCUAUGUCUGAUUAGCUAGUUGGCGGUGUAAUAGACCACCAAGGUGAUGAUCAGUAACUGGUCUGAGAGGACGAUCAGUCACACCGGAACUGAGACACGGUCCGGACUCCUACGGGAGGCAGCAGUGGGGAAUAUUGGACAAUGGGCGAAAGCCUGAUCCAGCAAUUCCGCGUGUGUGAAGAAGGCCUUCGGGUUGUAAAGCACUUUAGUGGGGGAAGAAACAGCUUGGCCACACCAAGCCUUGACGGUACCCCAAGAAUAAGCACCGGCUAACUCUGU
rnacentral:rRNA from 1 species